GCCUGAGGCUGAAAUCAACAUUUGCCUCUGGCAGGGAAAUGAACUUGUUAGUUUCCGUGUGCUUCAGACCCUCGGCCCAAAGGAGUCAGGGGUUGCAGUAGCAAUUUGGCUUUGUGUAUCGAGAACCUCACGGCUAUAAAGGACCUCCGGUCUUGCUCCCAGCCCAAGGACUCCAAAUCCAUCACGUGGCAGCGUGGAGCCCGCCUCCUGAUGACGUCACAGCACUCGCAGCAGACGUGCUGAAGAAAGGAUGCUCUAGGAUGCUGUCCAGGUGGACCACCAGGCUGCAAGAUGCGGCACUGCAGGAGUAACUAGCAUGGUCAGUGCAGGAGCCAUGAGUGCCUCUGGGAACCUAAUGGACUUCCUUGAUGAGCCCUUCCCUGAUGUAGGGACCUAUGAGGACUUCCACACCAUAGACUGGCUGAGGGAAAAGUCCCGGGACACUGACAGACACAGA